GCGGGGGUUCCCGAGAGGUCGAAGGGGGCAGGCUCAGGCCCUGCUGGCGUUAGGCCUUCGUGGGUUCGAAUCCCACCCCCCGCACCA
rnacentral:tRNA from 1 species